CCCAUCACCCUGCAUAACUAAGUGUGGACUCCAAAUAAAGCCUCCAUUUUCAGAGGCAGUCUACCUCCGAAUACCAGAGAGGCUCAGAUGACAGAGGAGGGCCCGUUGGCCGAAAGAGGAGCGUGGCCCCAAAGCCGGAUUCUGGUUAGGGAAAUGAACGACCCCACAAAUACAAUAGCAGGUGCAUCCUAUAGGAGGACGUCAGCGUUCUUGAAAUGGAAUCAUGCCAACACGCUGAAAAUGCACACAUUUAAGAGGCAAGGAGAGGCUGCUUUCUUCCGAGAAACAUCCUUCCUUGCUUACCUACCGCAGUGGGACAGCAGGAGACCCCCGUGGGAGACCGGAUUAAUUACUUUGCUUGGGGAACAGAGGAAAAUGCUUUAUACCGAGCCAGGCUGCCGGGGAAGGGAUGUGGCUCAGGGGCAAAGCUUCCCCCUUGCAUGCAGAAGGUUCCAGGUUCAAAUCCCGCCCUCUCCAAGUCGGGCUGGGAGAAAUUCCCUGCCUGAGAGUUGCUGCCAGCCAGUGUAGAGAUUACAGAGAGCUAGGUGCUGCAGCAAUCUGAACCCAGUAAAAGGCUCCUUUAAGAACAUAAGAAGAGACCGCUGGAUCAGGGCAUCGAGACCAGCAUCCUGUUCCCACAGCGGCCACCCAAAUGCCCGUGGGAAGCCCGCAGGCAGGAUUCGAACACAAGAGCCGUCUUUCCUAAAGCGGCUUCUGGCAACUGCAUAGCACCAUGGCUAGUAGCCCUUCCGCUUCCUGGAUUUGUCCAAACCUCUUUAAAAACCAGCCCAUCGCCGUCUCCUGCAGAAGGCAGUUCCACAGUUUAACUCUAAGGACUUUAUUUUACUUGCCCUGAAUCUUCCAGCAGAAUCUGUUUCCCGGAGGCGAUGCGGGGAUUGAACCUGGGACCUUCUGUAUGCGAGGGGAAAGGCCCUGCCACUGAGCUACGCAGGUCUCCCCUCGCCGACCCUCAGCUAUUCCACCACUCGACAUGACGCGAGCACAGGCUUAUGAAAAAAGGAGCAAGCGGCCAGACCUCUCUGCCUCCUUGUCUGCUUCAAUCAUCAAGAAACAGCAGCAGGAGAACUUCAGUUCCACCCCCACCCAGCUUGCCAAGGAUUGAGGAAAGGAUCUGUGCAGUGGAUUCUACAAAAUAAGCCAGUGCAUUGGAGAAGCAGAGUGGUGUAGUGGUUAGAGCAGGGGCCCUCCAGAGGUUGCUAGACCCCAACUCCCGUCAGCUCUGACUUGAGUCGGAGUCUGGCAACAUCUGGAGGCGCAGGUUCUCCACCCCAGUUUACAGGGCCGGGCUGGGAGGAGCCGGAUUAAAUCCCUCACUUGCCCUCGGUGACCCUGAACCUACCUCUUAGGGCUGUUGUGCAAGGAUAAUGUCGAGUUCGGGUUUUGCAAGUGGCCCCGAGCUCCUUGAGGGAGGCUGGGAUUUUAUAAAACGUACAAAGGGAGGACAAGGGGAAGCCUAAACUGUUUAACUUGAGGUGGUGGGGGAUGAAGGUAGGAAAUCUAACAGGGAAAAGAAGAGUUUAAAAUGGCAGUGGAGUUGGCUCAGUUCUGCCAACGCUGUCCCUGCAGUGUUUGCCUCACCCGGAAGAAGGCAGGGUGAGAAUUCUUGCCUGGGGAGGGAGAAAGGGGGAUUGAACAGGGAAACCUGGAGUGGAAAAUCAAUGGGGCUGAGGUGAGCAAGGAGUUUUGUUGAUGGGGAUCUGCAGUGGCCAAAAAUGAUUUACUUGAGGGGGGGGGCAGUUGCUAAAGUGGGGAGGAGAUAAUGGCAAAACCAUUUCUAAACAGGAAUGUGCCGCGUCUCCUUUGUCCUAGGAGCUGGGCUCCCAGCAGCUGUGAACGUUCUCUAUCUCUGCACAUGCCCAGAGGUACUCAUUUUGGGUACUUCCGAGGCUCCAGGAAAAGGUUCUGCGGUCCAUCUCUCAAUCAAGGGAGCAGAGUGUCUGGGACACAGAGGCACCCAGAGCUUCACCCAAAUUUUUACAAUGAUUUGGGCUCACCUCAGAACAGACCGAAAAGAGGGCAUGCGAAGAUUCAUUCAGCCACUACAUUCCCACCUGCCCAAGGAAGGAGCGCGAGGCGGCGCAUGGGGUUCUGCCCCCUCCCCAUUCUGCCCUGACAACAACCCCGAGAGGUAGGCCAGGCUGAGAUCGAGCAACUGGCCCACCCGGUGGGCUCUGUGGCGGAGCGGGGAUUCGAACCCAGUCUCCACGCUCUAACCACUCCACUGUACUGUCAAGGAACCUCUUUGCCUCCUGAGGUGGACGCAGUGCGCCCGGCGAGUCCUACAGGUACGAAAAUCAAAUCCCAGGGCGGCUGCGAUCAUCAGCACCACCGACAAGGCGCCUUAACUCCUUCCUGCCCGCGACACCCCACCCCCCCGCUCCCUCUCCUUGCCAUUAAAAGCAGGCACACAGGAUUUUUCCAAACAGAGAUCGCCCAGCAAAGGACCCACGGGUUGCGGGAUUUCAAGUCCGGACAUCGCUGCCGUCGCCACUGCCGCCAAUAUUUAUAUGCCGCUUAAUAUGCAGAGUCCCCAGGCGGUUUAAUUAAAGUGAAGGGAAACAUACCUACAAGUCGGGAAUGCAAAGAAAUACGUCGGAAGCAACAGAUGAAGCGCUCAGCUAAAUGUCAAGGAACAAUAAGGCAGCGUGAGAGAGGAGAGCCGAGAUUUUUUAAAUCCUUCCCUCUUGUUAUUAUUAGCCGUUCUCUUUUAAAUCAAUUGCCAUUGUUUUUAGAUUGUUUUUUUAAUGUCACUAUAUGCUGAAAUGUUUGAAACAGUUUGCCCUUAGGGUUUUUUUAAUUGCACAUUUUGUUUAUUCGUUUCAUAAAAAAUUAUAUACCACUCGGGGGUGGAAAAAACUUCCAAGUGGUUUGCAAAAGGAAUAAAACAGUAAAAUUAUUGGGGAUUAAAACAACUAUUAAAACACACACACAUUUUUUUUGAACUAGUAAUAAAUCUGGGUAGGCUGAUGGAAAAAAA